ensembl:lncRNA
CUGGUCGCGCAUUGAAAGUAGCUCGUCUUGUUGUUCACCUUCCUAAUUUCCGGAUUUCCCUAUGGUCUCCGCGGUAAACGUCACAACGCUUUGAACUGUGGGUAAUUCUCUUAGGUAAAGUCUGCACUGAUGCAGACUCACGGUAAGUGUGGACUCAAACCCUCAUGCCCUUUGGAUUCGACAUUGGGACAGCCUUAAAGCCUUAAUAAUUUCGCGAGAACGCGUAUGAAAGUCCGUGAGUCCGGAUAUUUGGAUUGGGCGCAUCUCUCCGAGUCAUACCUAGCCUGAAACGACGAUGCCACAAAGGAUCAAAUUCGUUUUUCAUCAACUCCAAAGAACUUUACGGAGGGGAAGACUGAACAGCAAUGACAAAAAUUUGUGAAACUCGGCCCACAUUUGUUGCUCAGUGUAUGAUCCGACAACGCUCCAACGCAGCCCCAGCCGGCAGGUCUUUGAUGGUCUCAGACGGAAUCCAACUCAAACUGUGAUCCGAUCAGCCAGAAGGCCCACCUCCCACGGUGGUGGUGAUCCCGUUGUCAUUUCCGAGGGAUGCCGGACUGUUCAAUAUGGAAAGCUGGAGUGAGAGGCGUGCUUGGGAGAAUUUAAAGGUGUGCAGCCUCACCCAGCCCCAGAGUCCAAUCCGUCUGACUAGCCAGGUGAAGCUGCCUAAACCAGCCAUCCUCCAAACACACUCCACAGCGGGCAUCAAGCCAAACUUGCUUAUGGUCCUGGACUGUUUGGGAUCCCAGCAAUGUGACCAAAACAGAGUUGAACCAAGGGUUAGGUCAUUAAAGUGUUAAUGGGCCAAUGCUUUUAGUUAAUGGAAGACCACCAUCUAUUGCACAAAUGGGACCAUUAGAUUACCCAUAAAGACCCCAAAUGAGCACAGAAACCCCUACUGGGGGCUCAUAGCUCAGAUUAUCUGUGCAAAUAAGUGGAGGGAUGACAAUGCAGGCUAUAAUAGAAACAUAACAUGUGUACAUAAUAUAGUAG